rnacentral:rRNA from 1 species
UAGGGAAUCUUCCGCAAUGGGCGAAAGCCUGACGGAGCAACGCCGCGUGAGUGAUGAAGGUCUUCGGAUCGUAAAACUCUGUUAUUAGGGAAGAACAAAUGUGUAAGUAACUAUGCACGUCUUGACGGUACCUAAUCAGAAAGCCACGGCUAACUACGUGCCAGCAGCCGCGGUAAUACGUAGGUGGCAAGCGUUAUCCGGAAUUAUUGGGCGUAAAGCGCGCGUAGGCGGUUUUUUAAGUCGGAUGUGAAAGCCCACGGCUCAACCGUGGGGGGUCAUUGGAACCUGGAAAACUUGAGUGCAGAAGAGGAAAGUGGAAUUCCAUGUGUAGCGGUGAAAUGCGCAGAGAUAUGGAGGAACACCAGUGGCGAAGGCGACUUUCUGGUCUGUAACUGACGCUGAUGUGCGAAAGCGUGGGGAUCAAACAGG